rnacentral:rRNA from 1 species
AGUGAACGCUGGCGGUAGGCCUAACACAUGCAAGUCGAACGGCAGCACAGUAAGAGCUUGCUCUUACGGGUGGCGAGUGGCGGACGGGUGAGGAAUACAUCGGAAUCUACUUUUUCGUGGGGGAUAACGUAGGGAAACUUACGCUAAUACCGCAUACGACCUACGGGUGAAAGCAGGGGAUCUUCGGACCUUGCGCGAUUGAAUGAGCCGAUGUCGGAUUAGCUAGUUGGCGGGGUAAAGGCCCACCAAGGCGACGAUCCGUAGCUGGUCUGAGAGGAUGAGGAGCGUAGGUGGAACUGUGACACGGUGCAGGCGCCACCGGGAGGCAGAAGUGGGGAGGAUUGGAAAAUGGGUGGAAUCGUGAUCCAGUUUUGCCGCGUGGGCUAAGAAGACGUUCGGGUUGCAGAGCCCUUCUGUUGGGAAAGAAAAUCAGCAGGUGAAAACCCCGCUGUACUGACGGUGGUCAAAUAAUAAGCACCGGCUCACUUCGUG